UACAGUCAUAUCAGGUUGAAAGACUGGUUCUCGUACGAUCACGGAAGUUAAGCAACAUCGAGUCUGGUCAAUAUCGAGAUGUGUGACAAGUUGGGAAUACCAGUUGCUGUAAG